UUGUACGCGUCACAAAAGAUGACUGGAUUCUACCAGGAAUUCUACACACUGAACAGAGAAACCUGGAAAUAGAAAGAUAAAGAUACAUGAUGGAGACGAAAUGAAAUGUUUUCAGAUUACUUUGCACAAUGACUGGAGGAAAACAAUUGUCAAGAGAAUGUGAGGCUCAUCAAUGGAAGGGAUUUGUAUUGUCUCAGAUGAAACUUUGGACUUUGAAGCUAAAUUUGGAAAAGCCAAGAUUUUGGGGGACUGUCGGGAGGUGUGGGCACCUCCCCUACCACUUGCUGCUGCCUGUAACAUGUGAAGUACAAGCUCCCACUUUGCCUUCUGCCAUGAGUUAAAGCUUCCUGAGCCCUUCCUGUACAGCCUGCAGAAAUGUGAGCCAAUUAAAUCUCUUUUCUUAUGAAUACCAGUCUGAGAAAUACCAGUCUCAGGUAUUUCUUUAUAGCAAUGCAAGAAUGUCCUAAUACAUCUGGCAUUCUGAGCACUGGUUUACCUUAAUGACUUUGUGGUUUCUUUAAUGACACACUACCUUCUAUUGCAGGAUUUCUAUCUAGACUAUCACCUAUGCCUGCACCCCAACUCAAGAUUAGGCAAAUUCCUAUCUCCACUAACUUAGCCUAAUGUACUUUCCAUUCAUAGCAAUUAUGGCAAUUAUCAGAGAUUGCAGUUAUAAUUGGGAAUAUUUUAUUCCCAUAUGUCUUUCUUACAAAAUUCACAUACAAUGAAGACAGGUAAAAUGUCACUUUGGUUCACUGCUGUAUCCUGCAUCUAAUGUAGUAUCAAGACACAUUAACUACUUAAUACAUGCUGAAAUGAGUGAAAACCAGCAUAUAUUUUUUGAAAAUCACGGACAAAAUAAAAAAGCAAACAUACACUUUAGAAAAUAGAAUAAAAUAAAAACAAGGAAGAAGACACACAACUGCACACACAAAAGGAAAACAAAGUGAAAUAACAAAAUAGGGCUAAACAUCUGAGCUCUAUGUUGUUGACAAUUUUCAUUGCUAAACUUUUGUGGAAUUAUUAUUCAGUGCUUACACUAUACUAUAUGUUUUAUGUGUAUUGUUUAAUCUUCACAGCACUCUGUUAUCAAUGUUUUACAGAUAAGAAAACUCAGGCUUAUGGGCCAUUUUGGCAACUGAACUUUGAAGCAUUAAUCAGAAAUAAGAAGGUUAAGCAUCUCUGCAAAAUAAAAAGAUUAUCAGAUUUUAGUUAAGUAAAGAAAAACAAGAUGCAAUCUAUCUGCUGUAUAGUAUAGAAAUGCCCAAACGAGAUGACACAGGUAAAAGAUGAAUGGAUAGGGUGAGGUUUAUUAGGCAGAAACAAAGAGAAACAUGGCAAAAGUUGAAGCAUUAAUAUCAAGGUAGAUUUCCAAACAUACGAAAAAUGUUUCAAAACAUACAAAAAAUACAAAAUGAUACGAAGAAAUUCUUUUUAUAUUAAAAGCAUAAAUUAUGUAAAUAUAAGACAUGCAUCUUUAUAGGAUGAAUGAUAUACAUUCAAAAUACAUAAACCACACACUGCUCAAAACACAAUCAUAAUGGAUGAAAUUAAUAUGUCUUUCUAAGGAUAAAGUAGACCAAAUAAAAUAGUCAUUGAAAAGCUGGUUUUUUGUCCUCUUCAUGAUGUUAGGUAUAUCAAAAAUGAAUAUAUAUUUACUACAUUUAAAAAAAUAUAUAAGAGUAUAAAGUAAAAUAUUAACUUUACUCUUUUAAACUCAUCUUUGU